rnacentral:rRNA from 1 species
AUCAUUCACAAUGGGGGAAACCCUGAUGGUGCGACGCCGCGUGGGGGAAUGAAGUAUCUCGGUAUGUAAAGCUCUAUCAGCAGGGAAGAAGAUGACGGUACCUGACUAAGAAGCACCGGCUAAAUACGUGCCAGCAGCCGCGGUAAUACGUAUGGUGCAAGCGUUAUCCGGAUUUACUGGGUGUAAAGGGAGCGUAGACGGAGAAGCAAGUCUGGAGUGAAAGCCCGGGGCUCAACCCCGGGACUGCUUUGGAAACUGUUUUUCUUGAGUGCCGGAGAGGUAAGCGGAAUUCCUAGUGUAGCGGUGAAAUGCGUAGAUAUUAGGAGGAACACCAGUGGCGAAGGCGGCUUACUGGACGGUAACUGACGUUGAGGCUCGAAAGCGUGGGGAGCAAACA